rnacentral:rRNA from 1 species
UGUGACUUUAAGUUUAACGGCCGCGGUAUUUUGACCGUGCGAAGGUAGCGCAAUCACUUGUCUUUUAAAUGAAGACCCGUAUGAAUGGCACCACGAGGGCUUAGCUGUCUCCUUUUUCAAGUCAAUGAAAUUGAUCUCCCCGUGCAGAAGCGGGGAUAUAAAUAUAAGACGAGAAGACCCUAUGGAGCUUUAGACCUAGUGCAGAUCACGAAAAAUACUUUUAAACAAAAAGAUUAAGCCUAAUGACUCCCGCAUGACUGUCUUUGGUUGGGGCGACCGCGGGGAAAAACAAAACCCCCACGAGGACUGAGAGUUUUACUCCUAAAACCAAGAGCCACAGCUCUAAGUAUCAGAAAUUCUGACCUAUAUGAUCCGGGAAACCGAUCAACGAACCAAGUUACCCUAGGGAUAACAGCGCAAUCCUCUUCCAGAGCCCAUAUCGACAAGAGGGUUUACGACCUCGAUGUUGGAUCAGGACAUCCUGAUGGUGCAGCCGCUAUUAAGGGUUCGUUUGUUCAACGAUUAAAGUCCUACGUGAUCU